rnacentral:lncRNA from 1 species
ACACAAACUUUUUUUCCUUCUUCUUUAAAUAUAUUCCUGUUUGGUCACACAUUUAUUCUAAUCUAAGUUUCUCUGUAGAGAGUCGUUGUCUGCUGUUUAUUGUGCAUAUGGAUGGUUAAAAAUGAAUUUAAAAUUCUCAGCUCUUGCAAACCAACUGCAAAGACAAAGAAUGACAGCCAAAUGGGGAGGAUAGGUGUCCCAUGAGAACAUCUCACAGAAUUGCUAACCGAUAUGCCCUGCAGUAUCAGAAUCUAUUGAUGUCGUUUCUAAGCUGAGCUCCACUGCCAUUUGCUAUUUAUUUUGGCAAGCAGUGAAACCAUCAAGAAUGUGCUGAUUCAUCACCCCUUUGAUAGGAGAUCAUGGGGCACAGGGGACAGUUUGGCCCUUAAACUCAGGCUGGAAUCAUGCAACUGGUUUCUUUGGGUCUUCAACAUGCAGAGAUCAAAUUAUAGGAUUUCUCAGCAUCCAUAAUCAGGUGAGCUUAUUUCUUAUAAUAAAUAUCUUUAUAUGCAUGGUAUAUUUAGAUACAGAUAUAUGAUAUCUAUUAUUUUCUA